AGCGAACGCUGGCGGCAGGCUUAACACAUGCAAGUCGAGCGGGGUGAUGGUGCUUGCACUAUCACUUAGCGGCGGACGGGUGAGUAAUGCUUAGGAAUCUGCCUAUUAGUGGGGGACAACAUCUCGAAAGGGAUGCUAAUACCGCAUACGUCCUACGGGAGAAAGCAGGGGAUCACUUGUGACCUUGCGCUAAUAGAUGAGCCUAAGUCGGAUUAGCUAGUUGGUGGGGUAAAGGCCUACCAAGGCGACGAUCUGUAGCGGGUCUGAGUGGAUGAUCCGCCACACUGGGACUGAGACACGGCCCAGACUCCUACGGGAGGCAGCGGUGGGGAAUAUUGGACAAUGGGGGGAACCCUGAUCCAGCCAUGCCGCGUGUGUGAAGAAGGCCUUAUGGUUGUAAAGCACUUUAAGCGAGGAGGAGGCUCCUUUGGUUAAUACCCAAGAUGAGCGGACGUUACUCGCAGAAUAAGCACCGGCUAACUCUGUGCCAGCCGCCGCCGUAA
rnacentral:rRNA from 1 species